rnacentral:rRNA from 1 species
GACGAACGCUGGCGGCGUGCUUAACACAUGCAAGUCGAACGAAGUGGCGAACGGGUGAGUAACGCGUAAUCAACCUGCCCUUCAGAGGGGCACAACAGUUGGACACGACUGCUAAUACCGAAUCCUGAAGGAGGGGAUUGCGUCUGAUUAGCUCGUUGGAGGGGUACGGGCCCACCAAGCCGAUGAUCAGUAGCCGGUCUGAUAGGAUGAGCGGCCACAUUGGGACUGAGACACGGCCCAGACUCCUACGGGAGGCAGCAGUGGGGAAUCUUCCGCAAUGGACGAAAGUCUGACGGGGCAACGCCGCGUGAGUGAUGACGGCCUUCGGGUUAUAAAGCUCUGUUAAUCGGGACGCGGUACCGGAAUAGAAAGCCACGGCUAACUACGUGCCAGCAGCCGCGGUAAUAC